rnacentral:rRNA from 1 species
GACGAACGCUGGCGGCGUGCCUAAUACAUGCAAGUAGAACGCUGAAGGAGGAGCUUGCUCUUCUGGAUGAGUUGCGAACGGGUGAGUAACGCGUAGGUAACCUGCCUGGUAGCGGGGGAUAACUAUUGGAAACGAUAGCUAAUACCGCAUAAGAGUAGAUGUUGCAUGACAUUUGCUUAAAAGGUGCAAUUGCAUCACUACCAGAUGGACCUGCGUUGUAUUAGCUAGUUGGUGGGGUAACGGCUCACCAAGGCGACGAUACAUAGCCGACCUGAGAGGGUGAUCGGCCACACUGGGACUGAGACACGGCCCAGACUCCUACGGGAGGCAGCAGUAGGGAAUCUUCGGCAAUAGACGGAAGUCUGACCGAGCAACGCAGCGUGAGUGAAGAAGGUUUUCGGAUCGUAAAGCUCUGUUGUAAGAGAAGAACGAGUGUGAGAGUGGAAAGUUCACACUGUGACGGUAUCUUACCAGAAAGGGACGGCUAACUACGUG